CGCACGAACCUGAGUGACUUCGUGGGAGAGACAGCAGCGCCAUCUUGUCAAGUUCACGCGUCAGGGUGUGGCCAAAGAUUUCCCAAGGCACCAAACACUGGCACGUGACCAGACUCCUCCACUGCAACUACAUAGUGUGUGUGUACUUUCAAGACUGAGACUUUAUUGUUUUCAUUCCAGGUAAUAUGUGUAAAUGUUGAGUUUUUACUACAAUUAUAAUGUCCUUUAUUGUUCUCAGUGGCAUCUACUCUAAUAUUAGUCUUUCUUUCUUAUUCCGAGGUCACUGUAGCCACCCAGAUCCAGUCUGUAUCCA